UACGGGGGGGGGCAAGCGUUGUUCGGAAUUACUGGGCGUAAAGGCCAGUAGGCGGCCAACUAAGUCGGAUGUGAAAUCCCCAGGCUUAACCUGGGAACUGCAUCCGAUACUGGAUGGCUUGAAUUCGGGAGAGGGAUGCAGAAUUCCAGGUGUAGCGGUGAAAUGCGUAGAUAUCUGGAGGAAUACCGGUGGCGAAGGCGGCAUCCUGGACCGACAUUGACGCUGAACGGCGAAAGCUAGGGGAGCGAA
rnacentral:rRNA from 1 species